UACGUAGGGGGCGAGCGUUGUCCGGAGUUAUUGGGCGUAAAGCGCGCGCAGGCGGUCUUUCAAGUCUGGAGUGACAGUUCCCGGCUCACCUGGGAAAGGUCUUCGGAAACUGGUAGACUUGAGGGACUCAGAGGGAGACGGAAUUCCAGGUGGAGCGGUGAAAUGCGUAGAUAUCAAGCGGAACACCAGUGGCGAAGGCGAGUCCCUGGACAACUCCUGACACUGAGGCACGAAAGCUAGGGGAGCAAACAGG
rnacentral:rRNA from 1 species